GCAUCCGUUCCGUAGCUCAGCUGGAUAGAGUACUCGGCUACGAACCGAGCGGUCGGAGGUUCGAAUCCUCCCGGAUGCACCA
rnacentral:tRNA from 1 species